GAUGAACGCUGGCGGCGUGCUUAACACAUGCAAGUCGAACGGAAAGGCCCCUGCUUGCAGGGGUACUCGAGUGGCGAACGGGUGAGUAACACGUGGGUGAUCUGCCCUGCACUUCGGGAUAAGCCUAGGAAACUGGGUCUAAUACCGGAUAGGACGAUGGUUUGGAUGCCAUUGUGGAAAGUUUUUCGGUGUGGGGUGAACGCGCGGCUUCUCAGCUUGUUGGUGGGGUGGUGGCGUACUACGGCGUCGACGGGUAGUCGGCCUGAGAGGGUGUCGGGCGACAGUGGGACUGAGAUAAGGACGAGACUACUACGGGAGGCAGAAGUGGGGAAUAUUGAACACUGGGGGGAAGACUGAUGCAGCAACGCCGCGGGCGGGAUGACGGCCUUCGGGUUGUAAACCGCUUUCGCCUGUGACGAAGCGUGAGUGACGGUAAUGGGUAAAGAAGCACCGGCUAACUACGUG
rnacentral:rRNA from 1 species